GGCUGAAAUUCGCCUUCAUGAAGCCGGAAUUGCUAGUAAUGGCAGGUCAGCAUACUGCCGUGAAUACGUUCCCGGGCCCUUGUACACACCGCCCGUCACACCAUGAGAGUUGGGAAUACCCGAAGCCUGUGAGCUAACUUUUAGAGGCAGCAGUCGAAGGUAGAAUCAAUGAUUGGGGUGAAGUCGUAACAAGGUAGC
rnacentral:rRNA from 1 species